AUACCAUUUUUGUACCGAGAAAUAUUUGAAGUGACAGUUGUGUUAAAUGUAUUUUUUUUACAUAAAAGUUUGUUUUAAAAUGUGUCAUACGUAUUCUCCAUUCGUGUUCCACCUGCCACAAAAUUUUGCGUAUACCUGUGAUCUAGAAAAUGAGAGAGAGACACUAAUAAAGAAGAAAUUUCCGAAAAAGAAAAAAACGCAGGCAGAAAAAAUAAAGAACGAAUUGUCGGAAGAUAAGCAAUUAGACAAAGAAUUAAACCGUCGUGUGGACACCUUACAGAACAUCUCCAACCACACCAGUUGAAGAAUCACUGACCAACCCCACUGAUCAGCACCCUUGCCUCAAUCGAGCGGACUUCCAACAAGGAAAACAUCGAACCCAAACACCCCAAACCCUUCGCGGAAGAAGAACCCUGACUCCCUGAAGUCCGUCAAAAACGCAAGGUUUUCAAGAAAGCUUCCAAACACAUCGCACGUCAGAGCCCUGCCUUGAUGCACAUCAGCACAACAGCCUGGAUGCCAAUGCUGACGUCGCGGUCGAACUUGAAGCCACAGAGCGCGAGGCGAGGACGAGAAGCACGAAAACGGAAACGCAACGAGACGAAAUCGAGGAGCCACUCCACCGACGGGAGUCUGGGAUGACAACGUCGGCAUCCAGUGCUGUUGUGCUGAUGUUCACCCACGCAAGCGUCUGUCGGGCUAUGUGCUAGGUUGCUUUUUUGAAAGCUUUUCGUUUUGGGCGGGCUCCGGGGGUCAGGGAUCUUCGUCAACGUAGGGUUUGGAUGUAUUGAGUUCUAUGUUUUCCUUGAUGAAAGCCUGCUCGAUUGAGGGAUAGGUGGAGAUCAGUGGGGUAAGUUGUUUUUUUCGUCUGAAGCGGGGCUUCAUUUUUCGCCCAGUGGGCGAAAGGCGAACGUGUGCUUCAGGCGAAAACAAAAAAAAAAUGAAAAGUAAGAACUCAGCACAACAGCAGCUGGAAGCACAGAAUCCUAAGGAUAAUCUGUGAUAAUAUCUUCUUAUGGAUGCAAGAGAUUGUUGAGGUGUUCAAGCUCGAACCACUGGACUUCGAGACCACGACGAGAUGGCGGAAGUUCAAAAUGAUGAUUUUAAACUGUGAUUUUUGAAAAUUUAUUGUGAUGUUAUUUUUGUAAUAUACAAGUAUCAAUAUACUUUUUCCAAUAAAA